rnacentral:rRNA from 1 species
UGUGAUUUCUUAGAUCGUACGGUUCCUUCGGGGACUGUUGGAUAACUGUGGUAAUUCUAGAGCUAAUACAUGCAAUCAAGCUCAGACCUUCGGGGACGGGCGCUCAUAUUAGACCAAGGCCAACCUGUGGGGCAACCCGCAGACGUCUGUGGUGACUCUGGAUAUCCAUCAGUUGAUCGCACGACCUUUGCGUCGGCGACGUAUCUUUCAAGCGUAUGCCCUAUCAUCUGUCGACGUUAGGUUAACAGCCUAUCGUGGAAGUAACGGGAAGCGGGAAAUCAGGCUUCGAUUCCGGAGAGAGCGCAUGAUAAAUGGCGACCACAUCCAAGGAAGGCAGCAGGCGCGCAAAUUACCCAAUGCCGACUCGGCGAGGUAGUGACGAAAAAUAACAAUACGGGACUCUUUUGAGGUCCCGUAAUUAGAAUGAGCACAAUCUAAAUCCUUUAGCGAGGAUCUAUUGGAGGUCAAG